AUACGGAGGGUGCAAGCGUUACUCGGAAUCACUGGGCGUAAAGCGCGCGCAGGCGGCCAUUUAAGUUGGAUGUGAAAGCCUACGGCUCAACCGUAGAACUGCAUCCAAAACUAUUUGGCUAGAGUGUGGGAGAGGAAGAUGGAAUUAGUUGUGUAGGGGUAAAAUCCGUAGAGAUAACUAGGAAUACCAAAAGCGAAGGCAAUCUUCUGGAACACUACUGACGCUGAGGCGCGAAAGCGUGGGGAGCAAACGGGAUUAGAUACCCUUGUAGUCC
rnacentral:rRNA from 1 species